AUUGAACGCUGGCGGCAGGCUUAACACAUGCAAGUCGAGCGAGCGGCGGACGGGUGAGUAAUGUCUGGGAAACUGCCAGAUGGAGGGGGAUCACUACGGGACACGGUAUCUUAUAACGCAUACCAUCAGAAGUGCACAGAUGGGAUUAGCGUGUAUGUGGGGUAAUGGCUCACCUAGGCGACGAUCCCUAGCUGGUCUGAGAGGGUGACCGGCCACACUGGAACUGAGACACGGUCCAGACUCCUACGGGAGGCAGCAGUGGGGAAUAUUGCACAAUGGGCGCAAGCCUGAUGCAGCCAUGCCGCGUGUGUGAAGAAGGCCUUCGGGUUGUAAAGCACUUUCAGUGAGGAGGCGUUACUCGCAGAAGAAGCACCGGCUAACUCCGUGCCAGCAGCCGCGGUAAUAC
rnacentral:rRNA from 1 species